UACGUAGGUGGCGAGCGUUAUCCGGAAUGAUUGGGCGUAAAGGGUGCGUAGGCGGCCUGCUAAGUCUGGAGUGAAAGGUACCGGCUCAACCGGUACAGGCUCUGGAAACUGGCGGGCUAGAGAGCAGGAGAGGGCGGUGGAACUCCAUGUGUAGCGGUAAAAUGCGUAGAUAUAUGGAAGAACACCAGUGGCGAAGGCGGCUCUCUGGCCUGUAACUGACACUGAGGCUCGAAAGCGUGGGGAGCAAACAGG
rnacentral:rRNA from 1 species